AUGCUCCUCGAGUCCCUGCUCCUCGGCCCCCUCGUCACCUCCCUACUCAAGAAGCACAACAACAUGACGCAGCACGAUUCUGGUCUUAUUAAUGUUGGGGGCGAGCAGAUGCGGCAGCGCACGGUGAUCCAGUUCUUUCAUUUAGUCAAGUUCUUUCAUUCAGUCAUGUUCUUUCAUUCAGUCAAAUUCAGUCAAGUUCUACUAAUCCCGCCGCAGGGUAAGACAGUGUGUGUCCCUUUGAAAUUGUCACUUGAAUUUUGUAUAGUUCGGAUAGAUGUUCCAGUUCUUUCAUUCAGUCAAGUUGUACUGAAACUUUCCGCAAAAACAAAAAAAUAA
rnacentral:rRNA from 1 species